UUACUAGCUCCCUCCGUCCGGAAAUACUUGUCCUAGAAAUGUAUAAAAUGAAUGUAUCUAUAACUAAAAUAAGUCUAGUUACAUCUACUUUUUGGACAAGUAUUUCCGGACGGAGGGAGUAUGUU
rfam:Hordeum vulgare subsp. vulgare, WGS project CAJW01000000 data, contig: morex_contig_164301